rnacentral:misc_RNA from 1 species
GGAAUAAAAGUCGUAACAAGGUUUCCGUAGGUGAACCUGCGGAAGGAUCAUUAACGAAUAUAUGUCUGUUUUAAGACAUUUUUCUAUUUCAAACACCUGUGAAUUUUAUGAAAUUUUUGCUUUGGCUGAAAUUAAUAUAUAUAUAUAUAUUUUUUUUCGGCCAAACGUUUUUAAUUAAAACCUUUUUAUUUAUAAACAUUUUGAAUCUGAAGACUGUUUUAUGAAAAAUUUAUUUAAAACUUUCAACAACGGAUCUCUUGGUUCUC